rnacentral:rRNA from 1 species
UACGUAGGUGGCAAGCGUUGUCCGGAUUUACUGGGCGUAAAGAGCGCGCAGGCGGUCGUUCAAGUCGCGUGUGAAAGCCCCCGGCUCAACUGGGGAGGGUCACGCGAUACUGAUCGACUCGAAGGCAGGAGAGGGUAGUGGAAUUCCCGGUGUAGUGGUGAAAUGCGUAGAUAUCAGGAAGAACACCAAUGGCGAAGGCAGCUCUCUGGGACGGUACUGACGCUGAGACGCGAAAGCGUGGGGAGCAAACAGG